AAGGAAGAGGAGAGAAGCGGAAAGCAGAUGAUGCUUUUCAGAGUGUUUCUGGUGGAGGCAAACCAUCUGCCCACCGGAAACGCAUCAGAGUUGCAGAGCUGGAGAACACAAGUGUAGACGCUGACACAGAGGCGUCCAGCUCAGGAGGAAGAGGAGUGAAGAGGAAAGCGGAUGAUGGUUUGCAGAGUGAUUCUGAUGGAGUCAAACCAUACGCUCUGCGGAAACGCAUCAAAGCUGCAGAGACGUCCAGCGAUGAGAACAGCAGCUCAGAAGCUCCAAGAGCACAGAAGAGGAAGGCUAGAUGUCUGGAUCAGAACACAGCUGCUGCAAAACGAGUGAAAACAGCACAGAUCCAACAUGGCAGCAGCAGCAGUGGCGGGAAAACUGCAGCAGAAGACAGCAGCUCAGCUAAAGACAGCAGAUCAGUUGAAGACAGCAGAUCAGCUGAAGACAGCAGCUCAG
ensembl:processed_transcript